rnacentral:rRNA from 1 species
UACGUAGGUGGCGAGCGUUAUCCGGAAUUAUUGGGCGUAAAGCGCGCGCAGGCGGUUCCUUAAGUCUGAUGUGAAAGCCCACGGCUCAACCGUGGAGGGUCAUUGGAAACUUGGGAACUUGAGUGCAGAAGAGAAGAGCGGAAUUCCACGUGUAGCGGUGAAAUGCGUAGAGAUGUGGAGGAACACCAGUGGCGAAGGCGGCUCUUUGGUCUGUAACUGACGCUGAGGCGCGAAAGCGUGGGGAGCAAACAGG